rnacentral:rRNA from 1 species
CCUGCGGGUGGCAGCAGUGGGGAAUAUUGGACAAUGGGCGAAAGCCUGAUCCAGCCAUGCCGCGUGUGUGAAGAAGGCCUUCGGGUUGUAAAGCACUUUCAGUGGGGAAGAAAGCCUUGGGGCUAAUACCCUCGAGGAAGGACAUCACCCACAGAAGAAGCACCGGCUAACUCCGUGCCAGCAGCCGCGGUAAUACGGAGGGGUGCGAGCGUUAAUCGGAAUUACUGGGCGUAAAGCGCGCGUAGGCGGUCUGAUAAGCCGGUUGUGAAAGCCCCGGGCUCAACCUGGGAACGGCAUCCGGAACUGUCAGGCUAGAGUGCAGGAGAGGAAGGUAGAAUUCCCGGUGUAGCGGUGAAAUGCGUAGAGAUCGGGAGGAAUACCAGUGGCGAAGGCGGCCUUCUGGACUGACACUGACGCUGAGGUGCGAAAGCGUGGGUAGCAAACAGGAUUAGAUACCCCAGUAGUC